GGUGAUAGUAUUUGCAAUUAUGAUGUAAUUUGAGCACCUUCUUGUUUGUCGAGGAUAUAGCCUUGUUCAUAUUUUUUUCUCUUGAAGUACAUGUGACUCUGCUUAAGAAGACUACAGCCUUCUCCAAAAGAUGGUGCAGACACAUUUAUUAUAGUAAAUACUUUUGUAAGGUCACAUAAUGAAGUAUAAUAAUUCUCAGUCACUGCCCUAAAUUUGAAAUUCUAAUUAUACAAUUAUCAUAAAUUCCUAGCAGCUGGGGAGUCUGGGUUAAGUAUUAACAAGGCUAAGUAUUUUAGUGCAUCACGUAAGGCAGAAUAGAGUAGUGAAUAAGCAAGUGGGUUUGAAUUUUGGCUCUUUCAGUUAUUAACCUCUUUGUGCCUUGAGAUUCUUAUCUUUUAAUGGAAUAAUCAUAUCUACCUCACAAAAUCGACAAAAAGAUUAAAUAAUAUAUGUAAAGGACUUAGCACAGUGUUUGGCUUAUAUAGAAAGGACCCAAUAAAUGAAUAAGUGAUAAUGCUGCUGGUGGUAGUGAUGAAGAAGAUGGUGAUGUUGAAGAAGAUGAUGGUGGUGGUGAUCAUCAUCGUAGGUCACAGAAAUUGAAACGUGGGCUUUUUUUUUUUUUUUUUUACUCCUCACGAAGAAACAGUCAAGAGAAGCUUAAGGGGGGCAAUUUGGCAUCUUAGAAAGCAUGUUAUGGUUUAUUGCAAAGAAGCCAGAGGACAUGGAUUGGAAUUCUCAAAAUGAAUGCCAGGCUCCCAGUCCCUCUUGGAAGGUUCGACAGAGCUGAGGAUGGCUUUGCUGCUAUAGUAGCAAAGGAUGAUCUCCUUCUACCCCUUCUCCCUGCCCUCAGUAAUCCCAACUACCAUCAGAAUAAAGGCACCAUUUAUUGACUUCCUUAUAGGUGCAAGGACUUUACUUGCAUUAUUUUUUUUAAUUUUUUUUUUUUUUUACGUUUUUAUUUAUUUUUGAGAGACAGAGACAGAGCACACGUGGGGGAGGAGGAGGAAGAGAGAGAAUGAGACACAGAAUCCGAAGCAGGCUCCAGGCUCUGAGCUGUCAGCACAGAGCCCCACGCAGGGCUCGAACUCACAAACUGAGACCAUGACCUGAGCUGAAGUCAGAUGCCCAACCGACUGAGCCACCCAGUAGGGAGUCUCCCUGUUGAGAUGUAGCUUGGGGGCUGGAUUGGUAUCUAUGUCUGGCUUCCUGAUGCUCUGCCAAUACCUCUCUUGCAAGAGUGUGGGGUGGAAAUUCAGCUCCCCAUUUAGUCCUACUGACCGCUUCCUGAAGAAGGUGGAGUGUUCUGACUUGCUCUAGAGGAUAUACUUCCAAGGUGGCUCACUCACAUAACAAGUCGGUGCUGACUGUUUGCUGGGAACUCAACUGAACCUGUCAGCCAGGGGUCUUGAUAAUUCUCCACAUGAGCCUCUCCACAUGGUUGCUUGGGCUUCCUCACAACAUGGUGGCUGGAUUUCAAGAGUCCCUCCACAUUGCACUUUGAAAAAGCAGUUCUCUCAAGAGAUAUAAUGAAGGAUAUUGGAAUGGCAUGCCCUGGGAAGCUGCUCUUGGCCCGGUCUUCGGAAGCACUCAUGUGCAGAGUUAUUCCUUUAGGAAAGUUACAUAUCAGCAGAGGUCAUCAGCCAGAUAAAAUCCAAGGAAUAACCAGGUAACUUCCAAGUCACGUAAUCUCUACGUUUUAGCAAUUCCAGCAAAGUAAUUUCUUGUUACUAUAGACAGGGAGUGAUGCAGAGUGCUGCUAAAAUUCUUAAGUUCAUUAUUUCUAGCAGUUGAAAUGUCAGCCAGGUCAAAGUGCAUGGUGUCUUUGUAACUAUCUUGAUUUUGUACAAAAAGAUCCAUCAUGUUUGUGCUAGGUUCUAAUAGCACUGCUAUCCUCUAUUCUUGUAUUUUGAUUCUGUGUCUAUACCUGUAAUUUUUCCAAGUGAUUAAGACCACGAGUUAUUUCUUCUACAGCUGACAUUUCCUUAUGUGAUUAUUCAUCUCUUUAGUUGUUUUAACAGCCACGUUUUAUUAAUGAUCAUUUGCUGUGCAGUAAUAAACUCUGUAUCAUUUAGUCCUUCUGGAAUUUCCUGAUCCUUGAUUACAGUGUAACAUAUCGCCUGAUUAAUUGCUCAUCAUUGCUGUUUUCAGCUUCUGCAUGAACUAGUUAAGGUUAUUUUUUCCCUUUUUGGUUUUACCAUCCCCUGAAGAUUUUCAUUUUCAACAAAUGUAUUAGUUGUCUUCCACUUCUGUCACUUACUUUUUUGCAUUCCCUGAUAGCACAGAGCAUAUACUGACUCCUUGCAAAUGGUUACCGUUUACUCGUGUUUCAGUCGAGCACAGUGAUUCUCAGAUUUUAGUGUGCCUUAGAAGCACUUGGAGGGCUUGUUAAAACAUAGAUUGCUGGGUCCCACUCCCAGAGUAGGUCUGGGUAUGGCCAGAGAAUUUGUAUUUCUAGCAAAUUCCCAGGGGUGCCCAUGCUGCCUGUCUAGGACCAAGAGUGGAGAACGACUAGCAUAGCAGGUUAGAAUAGUGGUUAAGGGCCUAAGUUCUGGGUUCAGCUAAUAUGGGUUCAGACAACAGCUACCAAUCUUGGGAAAGCUAAGGUCUUACAAAACUUCAGUUUCUGCAUUAGUAAAAUCAGAAGAGGGCCAACCUUUUAGACUCCUUGUAAGGAUUAGAUGAGAUAAUCCCCAUAAAGCACUUAGUACUGUGGCAAGAUGUCGAUGCUCAAUAAAUGUUAGUAUUGGUAUAUUUUACAAGAUAUAAGGAAUUAAUGUUCAAGUUUAAUUACCAAAAUUAAGAAAAUGUGCCUCCUUUCACAAAUUGGUCACUCUUCUUUGGAUCUUGAUUUUCUAUAUUGCUGAGUUAGAAAUGCUAUUUAAAAAAAAAAAAAAGAUUAGCCAUGUGGACAGAAAGAUGCAGUAGAGAGAUCAUGAGAUUUGGAAUCGGGAAAACGCCUGGGUUCUAGUCUAGACUCUGCUAUUCCUGGCUUUGUGACUCACAGCAAUUUUCUUCUCUCUCGGAUCCAAGUUUCCUGUAAAUAUCUUCUAAAGUGGUGACAUAAAUGGUAAGGAUUGUUAUAUGGAUCAAAUGAGCUAGAUCAUUUGGUAAGUUUAUUUGAGUUUAAUGUUCUAUAAUAUUAUUGUCAUUUUUAUUGAGAAUAAGGGGCUAUCACAAUUUUUUAUUCACUGAUUCGUUAUCAUUGUGGAAAGUCAUGCAUCUGUGGAGUAACAAUUAUUGAAAAAAUUUUUUCAUUAGAAUUGUUUUGAGGUGGUAUUGACUCUAACUGGGAAUUUGUAAACGCUUACAUAUGUGACAUGUUAUUUUCUAUUAGUAACCUAGUUAGAUCUCUUUCUUAUUGGCUGAAAUGCUGGCUCAUCUUCCGAACUUUUUACCUGGAGGGAAUUGACAUCUGAAUGACCAUAUUUUCAAAUGAUGCUGAGGGAGAGAGAAAUAAUUAUGCUAUAUCUGAUAAUGAUUGGACCAAAAAUGCACUUAGAGAAAGCUUUGUUCUCAUGGUGUGAGUUGCUGAGUUUUGAUAAUAGAUUUUAGAAAAAAAAUCAGGGACUUCUUUGCAUUGGAUACUACAAGAUUCUUUCAGAAGAGGAAAGAAGUUACACGUAAUCAAAAAUUUUAAAUGUAGUGUUAAACACUGUGUUUGAAGAUACCAAAAUGAACUACUCACAUUUCAUGCUUUCAAUGCAUUUUUCUGUUGAAGAAAGCAGAACGACAUGCAAAAGUCACGACAUACGUUCCAAAGAAGGCCGAGUCAGGGGGCAGGGGCGAUGCUGAGGGAGACAAAGGCAGGGAGAUUGUUUCUGGCUGGGGAACCAGCACCCUCCCAUUUUCAGGCUGCGUGCUGAGCCACAUUAAGCCAGUGUGUCUGAGUAUCAUAAGGAGCCUGAAAAGGACUUUGUGAGCCCAAUUUAUUGACCUUCACAAAGGAUUAUAUUUAAACCAUCUCUGACAGAUGAGAAUCUAUCCUCCAUUGGGGGAAGAAAUCCUUCCCUUGAAGGAGAUUUUAUAACCUUCCUUAUUAACUCAUUUCAGUAUUUACCAUCCUUUGCUUGCUGCACAGAAACCUGUUUCAGCUGCCACAGGAACAUCAGGAUUUGUCCUCUCUGGACUUGCUGAACACAAACUUACAUCUUUAUGUAACCAAGCAUUGUCAUCUCUCAGGGGCCGCCAUGUCACCGUCUCAUCAGUCGAUUACACAAUUAAACAAUUCUCUAGGAAUCAGGAUAUAGUCAUGGGUAAGAGCAUCAAGGGUCAGGCAGUUCCAGAUUAGAGUAUUGGUUCCGUCACUUUCUCGUACCUGUGACCUUGGGAAAAGUUACUUAAAACCUCCAAGCCUCAAUUUUCUUACCCAUACAACUAGGGUAAUAAACACAACAUGUCUACCUCCCAGGGUUAUUGUGAAAAUGAGAUUAGAAAAUGCAUGUUUUAGGUUGGGCUACAUGAAAUCAUUAAUAUGUGCCCAUUUUGACCACAAAAAUAGCAAUCUCAAGUGGUUCACACUAAUAAGUGGCUUAGCAAGGUACCUGAAUUUUAUCAAAGAUUUGACAUUAAUAACAAUUUUUAGAAACACAAAACUUUAAUAAUGUAUUAACAUAUAUGAUGUUAAUCUAGUAUAUAUAGCGUAAUAUAAUAAUCAUAUUAUUAUUGUCAUCAUUGUUAUUGCCGUGGUGUGCAAUAUUCAGUGUAGGUGCUAGAGGAUAUUCCUGCAAACAAACCAUUCUGAUUCCUGGUGCUGUGUGUGAUGCCAUAAAUGUGUGGAAGAUAGAGCGUCUAGGUCGGCCUGCAGAGGUAAGGGAAGGUGCCCAAGAGGCAGCAGCACUUGAACUGGGUUUUCUAGGGUCAGUUGGAGAUUUCUGGAUAAACAAACCUAGGGAGGAAGAUAGAGCAGAAGAAAGAGCAUGGACCUAAGCCACAGAGGUGGGAGGGAAUAGGGGACACUCAGUGACUCACGGUGAUUCUGUGCGGUGAGAACAUAAACUGGGACGUGGGGGUGGAAGGAAUUGAGAACGGAGGAAGGAAGAAAGAAAUGCCUUGAAAGAAAGGUAGAUUUUACUGGGGAAGUGUCAUGACUGGUUUUGCCAGUUUGGAAGCUUCCUCUGGAGGUUUUUUGGAGCAUGACUGGCCUGGAGCAAGGGUGGACGCAGAGGGAUGUGGAAGGAGGCUACUGCAGUGGUCCAGCUGAGCAGUAACGUCAGCUGAACCCAGGGCGGUAGCAGUGUGCUUGGAGAGGAGUGGAUGCAAAUGAUAUGUUUAUGUUUUAAAGGUCCUAGUGAUGUGUGGGCUCAGUCAAGAGGGUGACAUACAAGUUGACUUGUGCGUGUGUGGCUUGGGCCCUGGUCACACUGUUCCUGAGAUACAGGACAUAGGAGGAGCAGGAGGAGAAGACUGGGGCAUGGAAACAGGGUGGGAGAGCGCUGAGGACAUAAUGAAAUGAGCUUUGGGCAUGUUGUGUUCAGAGUGUAUGAGAGCAUUCCAUCCAUAUCCUCUGACUUUCCUAGGGACUGAUGUCUCUGAUCUUACUGCCACAUAAGGUGUCCUUGAGUACGUACCAAGGAACUCAUGAGGCUCUUGCCUGGGCAGUUUGGGAAGAUUUCACAUUAGAUCUCAGUUUCGUUGGAGUCUUGCCUCCCUGAGGACAUUGGUCAUAUACCUGUGCUUAUUAGAUAAUGGUUGAGUACAAAAGGUAGCUAACACUAAUAAAUAGAACAUUUACUACGUGUUAGGCACUAUUUCAAGUGCUUUCUGUUAAAACAUCAUUUAAUUUUAGCAACAACUGUAUAAGGUGGGUAGUACUCUUUUUUUAAAGUUUAUUUAUUUUGAGGCGGGGGGGGGAUGGGAAGAGAGAGAGGGAGAGAGAGAAUCCUGGGCGGGCUCUGCACUGUCGGCACAGAAUCCAACACAGGGCUUCAUCUCACAAGCCAUGAGAUCAUGACCUGAGCCAAAAUCAAGAGUCAGACACUUCAUGAACAGAGCAGCCCAGGCGCCCCAAGGUGAGUGGUAUUCUUAACCUCAUUUUGUAAACGAGGAAAUUGAGGCUUGUGGUGGUGGAAUGACCUAUCCAAGGUCCUAUAACUAAUGAGUGGUAAAGCCGGGGUGCACACUGAGAUGGAGGUCUCCAGGGAUUGUGUUCCUAGAAAAAUGCCUAGGUGUAUAAUUUGGCCUAGGCUGGAGAAUUGAAUUGUAAGUUCCCUGUCUGUCGGGGUGAUUACAAUUGGAUUUUAGUGUUGUUAAAGCAAGCCUUAUUUGGUCCAAAGUACUUCACAUAGUGCUCUAAGGUUUGUAGAUUCCAAAAUCUAGUGUAGGGGUUAAAAUUUCCUCUGUCUAAUCCACAUUCUCCAAUGGGAAUGAUUCUAGGUUUUGGUCCUAAUCUUACUGUAUCUGGUGUAUUAUUUCAUUUUGCAUUCUAGUUUGGGGCUUCUAGUCUUAGGAGUCAGAGAGGAGUUACAAUUCCAGGUGAUAUUUAGUCUCUGCGGUAAUUUAAAUUCAUUGCUUAUUUUUAACUUUGAUGGAAAUAGAGAUUUUUGUCUUCUGUUUUCUCUUCUUCCUCCCUGAGCCACCUGUAUGAUGUGCUGGUGUCCAGCAUUGUUACAAUCCCUCCAUUCAUCCUUGCUGUGAACUACGUGUUUGUGUUUCCCCAAAAUUCAUAUGUUGAAGCCCUAAAGGUGGGAGGUGGGGUUUUGGGGGAGGUAAUUAAGUUUCGAUGAGGUCAUGAGUAGAGAGCCCUCAUGAUGGAAUUAUACCCUUAGAAGGAGAAGGAUGCCAGAACUUCCAUUUUGCCAUGUGAGUACACAACAAGAAGGCAGUAUCUGCAAGAGGACCUCACCAGUCCCCAGAACCAUGAGAAACAUGUUUGUUUGGAGCUGGACACUGCAGCAUUUACAGAAUGGUACACACAGCUUCUGCAACUCCUUUUACUAUGGGCAAAUAAGUAGUUAGCUUUUCUGACUACCAAGAUAAGAGUGUGUAGGAACCAUCUCUGCUUUCCUAGGUGAGAAAGGUGGCUGUUGUUAAAUGGUUCCAGGUCUUUUGUAAUGACUCUUAGAACUUUGAUAGUAGUAGAAAACUUUGGGAGAAUCUUCUAAGUGAGAAGCUGUUAAGAGCCUAAGGGGCAUGAACGGGUCUGGGAGAAUUAGCCAUGGAAGACUUACCCAUUCCUAGAAUCCAUGUUGAUCAGUAACAUUGGUUCUGAAAAUGGCUUAGAGAUAAAAAUAUCUUUCACAGAAAGAUGAAGGUCUCCUUUCACGAGAAAAGGAAGAUGCCACGUUUUUCUACAAGCUUUGUAAUGGCCUCAGCUAAUAUAAAUCAUGGAUGGGUGUGGGAAUAGGAAUAAAAAAGGCAUGGUUGCUAGAUUCCUUUCAAAGAACAAUCUUCAUGAGUCAUAGUGACUGAUUACUAUGUGUAAUGAAAGAUAGGAAUGUCAGUGAUGAUGGAGUUUUCAAGCCUGCCUAAGUGGGGAAAUGUUGGUGUUAUUGAUGAAGGAAAGGAAUUAAGCAUGCUGAGCCCAGUGUGGAUGGAAGGAAAAGGACGAGAUCAGUUUGGCAAGUGUUCAUUUGAGGGGAGAAAAUGGAACAGCCAAGUAGGCAUGUUCAGCAGGAAUCAAAGACAACACAGCAGGAGCUCGAGUGAGAGAACAAGGUGGAAGGUAUAAAUUUGGGUGUCAUUUAUACAGGCAUGAUCCCAGAAGCAGACAGAACAUUUGCAGCAGAAGAAAGAGCUCAGCACCUAGGCUGAAUUUUCAGAAAUGCUGAGAAUUCAGAGUUAGGGGACAGCAAGGAGAAGAAAAUCCAGGGGUGGAGACAGAUCAAGCAAGGAGGUAGAAUGACUUAUUCUGGAAGUGGGUGGAGGCCAUUUCAAGGCCUCAAGACAGGUGAUCAAUAUGUCCUUGAGCUUCUUAUUCAAGAAAUGUGUCAGUAAAGGAGGAGUAAUAAAAGGUGGUGGCUAGAGCAGACACCAAGAUCAUACUGAAAUUUUCUUUCAAGGUGAAGGAGAAACACACAGGUUGGGUUGGAAGUCUACGCAGAGGGAAAGUUUGAAGAUGCCAGUGAAGGGGAAUAAAUAUAGCAACAGUAUCUCUCAGAUGGGAUCUAGCUUUAGAGAAAAAGGGCAUAGAUUCCUUUGAGUUGGAGAGAAGGACAAGAAGGGUAAAAAUGAAGGUUGAAAAAGAUCUUUUUAAAAUGAAAGUGUUAAAGAAGGGACUCUCUAAAGUUGCUCCUUAAAAAUAGAAUGCGGAGUUAUUUAUCAAGUAAGAAUGUGGAUUUCAGAAGAAGUAAGAGAUUUUGGAGUAGCUAUUGGUAGAUGUUAACUAAUCACCCACAAAUGAGGAAAGAACUUUCAGCUAAGUAGCGAGUUGCUGAAUUUGAGUAGCAAUCACAAAAUAAAUAUUUGUUGAGUUCCUUCUAAGUACCAGGCACGUGUACUUGAAGCCAGAAUAUAGGCUUACAUCUUUUACUAGCAAUUCUCUGUGACCAAGGCUCAGGGAUACAGAGAAUCAAGGGAGAGGACUCUAGAGUAGAAGGAAGGACCAUCCUGAAGAACAUGGUGGGCAGGCAUCCAGAGUGCCAGGCCACUCAUAACAUAUUCUUCCAGAUUCUGAUACUGUUUCUUCUUGUAUAUGGACAAAACUCACCACCUUCAACAUUCCUUAGAAAAUUACAUCUGGAUGUGGGGUUCCUGGGUGGCUCAGUCAGUUAAGCAUCCUACUUCAGCUCAGGUCAUGAUCCCACGGUUUGUGAAUUCAAGCCCCACAUCAGGCUCUCUGCUGUCAGCCCAGAGCCCACUUUGAAUCCUCUGCUCCCCUCUCUCUCUGUCCCUCCCCCACUCUCUCUCUUAAAAAAAAAUGAAUAUUAAAAAAAAUUACAUCUGGAUGUUAAUAAGCUGGAGUCAGGAAUAAGGAAUAGUUCCCAGAAAGGGGGGAGAAAAUUAGCAUUCUUUGGAAAAACAAAUAAAUGAAUAAUUUUUAAUAAUGAUGUUUGAUCUUUUCAGCAGUUUUAUUAGGACUCACUAGGUAUGGCUUUCUUUGUAUUUGUCCAGAAUAUUCAUGAAUAGUAGAAUGGAUAAGUAAAGUGUUGGCAAGUGUUCAUUUGCCAGUGGAAUACUAUACAGCUAGGAAAUACUAUACACAAUGGAAUACUAUACAGCUAGGAAAAUGAAUAAACUACAGUUACACACAACAGCGUGGGUGAAGUUCACAAACAUUCUGUCGAGUGAGAGAAGACUUACACAAAAGAAUACAUAUUUUUUUCAUUUAUUAGGAAGUUGAUAUGUGAUGUUAGAAGUCAGGAGAGCUUUACAUUUGACUAGGAGUGAUAGUAUGAGAAGUCUGCUAAUGUUCUAUUUCUUCAUCUAGGUGGUUUCAUUUGAUCUAGCUGGUUUCAUCUAAACUAGGUAUUUACCUUGUGAUAAUUCAUCGAGUUAUAUACUUCAAGUUUGUAUGCUCUCUGUAGUAUGUUACACUUAAAAGGUUUGUUUUUUUUUUCCCUACAGAUAUGCUUGUUAUCAAUGGGAAGAAAAAAAGAAACCCAUUUGAAUUUAGUUUGAAGAAAGCAAACUGAAAAUCUAUUGAAUAUCACAGAUAUAAUAUUCCACUCUUUAUUUUACAGACUAGGAAACAAACAUUUAGAUCUAGUAAAUGCCCGAUUUUAGGUCUCAGAGAUAGUACAGGGUUAGAACUGAAGGCCAUUCUUGAAUUCCAAAUCAAAAUCCAGAGCUUUUCACCAAUCUCCCAUAAUAUACACAUAAUAUACAUAAAUCCUUUUAGCUCUCGAACCAAAGACUGCAUUCAUUCAUUCAUUCAUUCAUUCGGCAUCUGUUGUGGGCCAGUCAUUGUGCUAGGUUCAGGGUCUCUUGUCUGCUUCCCUGUAGCCCAGUGAGCGUUGUAGUACAAAAAUAAACAGCUCUAAGGAACACAUGUUGGGAGCUAUUAGAGCCCAAGUAGAUCAGGGAUGUUGUCCUAGAGGUGUAUUUCAUGUGUGUUAGAUAUUCUGGGAGGCACGCGUUCAGUGGUUAGGUGGGUAAACUGGGGUAACACUGCCUGGGUUGAAGCUUUGGCCAUAUCACUUACCUGCUAGGCAUUAUGACCAAGCUGCAUAACUUCAGCUUAGUCACACAAUCGCUCUGUGCUUCAGUCCUCUCAGCUUUAAAUUGGGGUCAAAUUCUGGAAGUUAAUAUACAUAAGUGCUUAGGAAGGUUCUGGGCACAUAACAGCAGGUACCAAGGAUGAAGGGAGGCUCAUUGGGAAAAGUCUGCCUCAGUGGAUAGGAGCAUUUUCUUACUGACGUUGUUUAGAAUUGUCAACACAUGGUAGUCAAAAAAGCAGACUUGUUUUUGUUUGGGGGGGUGGUAUUACUGUUUUUUAAAUUCUCUACAGAUGAUUCAACUCCUUAUUGCUUGCAUCUGAAGCAGAUCCUCCCACUACCCACCACCCCCCCCACUCCCAGCCUCUAUAUCACCAGGUACAUAGUAAGCACUACAUAAAUGCAUGCUAGUGUUAUUCUUUAGGUUUGGAAGGCCACGGAGCAAUUCCCCCAGAGGAACUGGGGGGUGGGGGUUGGUAGGAUGGGAGGAAAAGGCCAUCCUGACAGAGGGAAAUAGCACUUGCAAAGGCAAGUAGGUGAAAAGAUUGUGUUCAUUCAAACCAUCAGUUAAUACUCAAACCAGGAAGAGAGCAGGGCUUUCCUGAGGAUAGUGGUUCCAUUAUUGGAAAGGAAAGCGAAUCACUGUGAAUUUUACUUUGACAGGCAUCAAUGAAGGCCACUCACAGUUUCACAUGAGAUCCUUCUGCCUUCAGUUCAACAUUUUCCCCACUCCUCGGCAUUGUACUUGGUUGCCUUUCUGCUCUAGAGAGUCAAGGAUGGCUUGAAGAUAUUCACCCUUGAGAGUGUAAUUCUGCCAACAAGCUAUUUCUGUGCAGUGCUUCUUACUGCACCCAAUGUGAGAGCCUACUUUGACGGCACUUGAAGCAGAGAGCAGAGAAAUGGUGAAGGUCAAGUGACUAUUUACUGAUGAUGUUGGAAAUGUCUUUGACAGUUGCUGCUUCUCAAGUAGGCUUCACGCCCAGUGCUCAGCCCAAUGAAGGGCUUGAACUCAAGACCCUGAGAUCAAGACUUAGCUCAAGCUGAGAUCAAGAGUUGGACGCUUAACCGACUGAGCCUCCCAGUUCUCCAGUUUUGUUCGGUAUACAGUAUGCAUUCUGAGAUACCGCACAUGAAAACAUACCAAAAAACAUGGAUCACCGUUCUUCCAGCUCCAUGGAUGGUUUCCUCAGCAGUUUCUAGUUAAUGCUACAUUUUUGUUAUGGUAGGAGCUCAUUUCUGUGUACUAAUUUUUGUUGGUUAUCUACUCAUAAUGGAGAUUAUGGAGAGAGAUUACGCUAUGCAACAAACAAUCCUAAAAUCUUGGUGGACUAAAGAAGGAAGGUGUAUUUCUCUUUCACACUAUGUCUUUUCAAGGGGCUCUGCUACCUUGUACCAUCUCCAGAUCCUAAACUAGGAGAAUAACCACAGUCUGGAGCAUAGCAAAUCUCUAAGGGACAGGUAAAGAGUGUAAGGCUAAUCACAUAGUAGCUCUUAAGCUUUCAACCAAUAAGUGACACACUUGUUCAGUUACAUUACCUGUAAUCGGCCAAAUCAAAUAGCUCACUACCUCAAACCCAAGGGAACGGAGAAAUGAAAUCUUAUGAUACGCCUCUAAAGAGAGCAGGCAAUAUUUGGCGAACAGAAAUAAUGACUACCACAUCCUUUAGUGGGUUUUGUAAAUCGAAGUUUAUUAUAGUAGGUCUCAAGUAUAUUCAGAAAUGGGAGCUAUAUUACGAGAAAAGAUGACUCUGCAGAAAUAUUUUUUUUGCAUCUUUGCAAUGGAAUUGUAAGUGAUAGACAUAUAAUCAUAAUUAUAUAGUCAUAAUCAGCUUCUUAUUCUGACUUCAUAUGUUAAAAACCUGUUAGUUUACAAGCAUAUUUUAGAAUAUAAGGAAUACUUUUUAAAAAGACUGACAUAAUACCCCAACUCAACACUUCAGUAUAUAUCCAGGAAAAAAUCCAAAAUUCCAACAAAGUAAAAAUGUGUAAUUCAAUGUUAUUUAUAAAGAGAAAUUUGCAACAUCCCAUGCACUUUUAAAAAGUACAGUAUAGGGCACCUGGGUAGCUCAGUUGGUUGAGCACCUGACUCUUGAUUUUGGCAUAGGUCCCAAAAUUGUGGGAUUGAGCCCCAUUUCUGGCUCUGUGCUGAGCAUUGAGCCUGCUUAAGAUU